GCGCGCUCCAACGGACAGAGUCAGACUGCUGGACGAAGGAGACUUUUUUAGCAAUUAGCAUCAGCGUGCGAGACUAAUGGAUCUACUUACAGCCAACGUGUUUCCACUCAAAGCCAUCGUUUUAUACUGAGAUCAGAGUCAAUAAACAUCUGCAAAAAAAAUUCCUGUGCCCUUCGAAGCCUGGCUAGGCUCUCACGUGUUUUGCAGACUACUCAACGGUGUCGACAAGACUGCAAUCGUCUCAUUUAAAUUAUGUAAUGAGUUCAAACGUAUCACUAGUGUGGACCUCCUCAAGACAUUCAGAGCAUCAAUACACCAGCACACUCCGCAACUCCUCAAGCUAUACAGAGCAAGAAAGGGGGCAUUUGGAACAGAAAUGGAAGAUCUUCUCAACAAGCUUGAUCAGCAGACCACAAAUUUUGUCACUCACUGACAGCAAACCGUCCUGGAAGGUCUCCCCAUGUUUCUACGAGAAGAUUCCUCUGUACUUUUUAAAACAUGCCUGGACAAGACUCCAGAGGACAGACAGACCAGAGGGAUGAAGGAGGUGAUUGUACUGAGAGAUGCUCCAGACUUGCAGUCUGCACUUGCACACCUGUUUGGCCUUCUGUUUGCCUUGGACUUUGAGUACCCAAAGCAACUGAAAUACACUUUUGAGGUUAUUGAGAAAGUGUUUAUGGAGAUGGGCACUCAUUGCUCUGCUAGGGUACAGUCCCUCAAAACUAAGCUAUUACUGUGAGAUGCAUUUGAGAUGUUUGUAUCUUACAUUUAAGAUGCAAGUAGAUCGUUUUUUUUUUUUUGCUAUUUGCUUGCAUUUUGUUUGACUCAUUUUUGUUUAAACUGUUAACUUGAGGUUGUGAUAAACAUUGGUGCCACUGUUCCAGCACUUACAGCACAAACGUUAACUUGCACUUAUGGUAUAAAGCUGCUCAGUUGUAACAUAUUCAGUGUUUACAAUUUAAAAUGUAAAACAUUUAAAAGAUAGAACAUUUAAAGUAUUUAUGACCAGUUGAAUGUUAGCACUUUGAAUGUAAAAGUUUUAUUCUUCUGUCUACUCUUUUUUUAUUUCUUUUUUAACGAUGAGUAUGGCUAAAGUGGUAAACAUUGUUUGUUUUUUCCAUUUCCACACCAACGUGUUGCUGCUGGUUUAA